GACGAACGCUGGCGGCGUGCUUAACACAUGCAAGUCGAACGGAAAGGCCCUGCUUUUGUGGGGUGCUCGAGUGGCGAACGGGUGAGUAACACGUGAGUAACCUGCCCUUGACUUUGGGAUAACUUCAGGAAACUGGGGCUAAUACCGGAUAGGAGCGCCUGCUGCAUGGUGGGGGUUGGAAAGUUUCGGCGGUUGGGGAUGGACUCGCGGCUUAUCAGCUUGGUGGUGGGGUAGUGGCUUACGAAGGCUUUGACGGGUAGCCGGCCUGAGAGGGUGACCGGCCACAUUGGGACUGAGAUACGGCCCAGACUCCUACGGGAGGCAGCAGUGGGGAAUAUUGCACAAUGGGCGGAAGCCUGAUGCAGCAACGCCGCGUGCGGGAUGACGGCCUUCGGGUUGUAAACCGCUUUCGCCUGUGACGAAGCGUGAGUGACGGUAAUGGGUAAAGAAGCACCGGCUAACUACGUG
rnacentral:rRNA from 1 species